rnacentral:rRNA from 1 species
UACGGAGGGUGCAAGCGUUAUCCGGAUUCGCUGGGUUUAAAGGGUGCGUAGGCGGGUAAGUAAGUCCGUGGUGAAAUCUCUGAGCUUAACUCCGAAACUGCAUUCGAUACUGCCGUGCUUGAGGACUGGAGAGGAGACUGGAAUUUACGGUGUAGCGGUGAAAUGCGUAGAUAUCGUAAGGAAGACCAGUGGCGAAGGCGGGUCUCUGGACAGUUCCUGACACUGAGGCACGAAGGCCAGGGGAGCAAACGGG